rnacentral:rRNA from 1 species
UGAGCCCGCGUCCCAUUAGCUGGUUGGUGAGGUAACGGCCCACCAAGGCUAUGAUGGGUAGGCGGCCUGAGAGGGUGUACGCCCACAUUGGGACUGAGAUACGGCCCAAACUCCUACGGGAGGCAGCAGCUAAGAAUAUUCCGCAAUGGACGAAAGUCUGACGGAGCGACGCCGCGUGGAUGAUGAAGGCCGGAAGGUUGUAAAAUCCUUUUGUCGGGGAAGAAUAAGCGUGGGAGGGAAUGCCCGCGUGAUGACAUGAACCGGCGAAUAAGCCCCGGCUAACUACGUGCCAGCAGCCGCGGUAACACGUAGGGGGCGAGCGUUGUUCGGAAUUACUGGGCGUAAAGGGCAUGUAGGCGGUUCUGUAAGCCUGACGUGAAAGGCUAUGGCUCAACCAUGGCACUGCGUUGGGAACUGCGGGACUUGAAUCACGGAGAGGGAGCUGGAAUUCCAGGUGUAGGGGUGAAAUCUGUAGAUAUCUGGAAGAACACCAGUGGCGAAGGCGAGCUCCUGGCCGAUGAUUGACGCUGAGGUGCGAAAGUGUGGGGAUCAAACAGGAUUAGAGACCCUGGUAGUCCACACCAUCAACGAUGUGCACUAGGUGCUGGGGCGGACGCUUCAGUGCCGGAGCUAACGCGGUAAGUGCACCGCCUGGGGAGUAUGCUCGCAAGGGUGAAACUCAAAGGAAUUGACGGGGGCCCGCACAAGCGGUGGAGCAUGUGGUUUAAUUCGAUGGUACACGAGGAACCUUACCUGGGUUUGACAUGCACAGGAAUACUGGAGAGAUUCGGUAGUCCCGCAAGGGACCUGUGAACAGGUGCUGCAUGGCUGUCGUCAGCUCGUGCCGUGAGGUGUUGGGUUAAGUCCCGCAACGAGCGCAACCCCUACUGCCAGUUACUAACAGGUAAUGCUGAGGACUCUGGCGGAACUGCCGGUGACAAACCGGAGGAAGGUGGGGAUGACGUCAAGUCCUCAUGGCCCUUAUGUCCAGGGCUACACACGUGCUACAAUGGCCGGUACAGAGUGACGCCAGCCGCGAGGUGGAGCAAAUCGCAGAAAGCCGGCCUUAGUUCGGAUUGGAGUCUGAAACUCGACUCCAUGAAGGUGGAAUCGCUAGUAAUCGCGCAUCAGCAUGGCGCAGUGAAUACGUUCCCGGGCCUUGUACACACCGCCCGUC